AUGUCGCACUCCAACCAAGUAAGGUACACCGCGCGUUCCAUCACUCCCCCCGCCGACAGGGACAGCGGUUCCAAGUCACCCCCACCCAGGAGGCGCGCAGCUUCCAAGUCGCCUCCCCUGCCCCCUCCCCCCCCUUUUCCUCCCAAGGGGGUGCGCACCAUCUCGAGGUCGCCACCACCUACUAGUACAAGACGCAGCGUCUCGAGGUCCCCUCCGCCAAAGAGGCGUGGCAGGUCCAGGUCAAGGUCCAGGUCCAGGAACAGGAGCCGCUCCAGGAGCAGAGAUAAAGACGAUGUGAGGAAUCCUGGCAACAACCUCUAUGUCACUGGACUGUCCACACGGACGCAAGAAACUGACCUCGAGAAGUUCUUCAGUAAAGAGGGCAAGGUUAAAGACUGCCGUGUCGUUAUAGAUCCUCGUACGAAAGAAUCACGUGGCUUUGCGUUCGUCACCAUGGAGAAUGUUGAGGAUGCAAGGCGCUGCAUCAAGUACCUGCACCGUACUGUCCUUGAAGGCCGCCUCAUCAGUGUGGCAAAGAAUUAUUGA
rnacentral:rRNA from 1 species